rnacentral:rRNA from 1 species
AUGAAUUGUGUGAGCUGGAACUGCCGGGGGCUUGGGAACCCUGAGGCAGUUCGCGAGCUUCGCAACAUAGUGAAGCAAGAAGGUCCUGCCCUUUUAUUUGUAAUGGAAACUAAAAUAAGGGCGAAAAGAGUGGAAAACCUGAAGCUCACGUUGGGGUUUGCGGGUUGUUUCGUAGUCGAUAGUGAUAGUAUGAGUGGUGGUGUUGGACUGUUCUAG